rnacentral:rRNA from 1 species
AUGGAGGGAGGUAAGCCUCUUCUGCUGUUCAGUGUAUGGGAAGUAGAUGGACAUGUCAGCACCAGGGGAGACGAUGUUGAACUUGGGGUCGAAGACAUCAAUACCAUGGACAACACGAUAGAGGCCUGGCAUUGUGAAUGCCAUGUGCGACUCGUACUGCCCUACGGUGUCCUUGCUGAAAAUUGGACGAUAACAUUAGAUCAGUUUAUGCUAUUUGCAAAUGACCACGGCGGUGUUUCUGUGAAAGAGAGAAUCUUACUUUCCGGCAAUCUCUUGGAAGGUACUGGUGAUGAUGAAGUCAGCAUGGUUCAUUGCAAUCAGGUCGGCUGUAAACUGGCAGGAGAAGUGGUAGUGAUCCUCAAAUUUCUUCCAGUAAAGGUCGGAGUUGGGGUACUUGGUUUUCUCGAGUGCAUGAGCAAUGGUACACUACGAGGAAAUAAGAAUUAUGAUAGGAUACUACGGAGAUGA